CUGGAGUGUCACCAGGUCUCUUCUCUGGCUAGUGUCCCCACAGGGCGAGACCCGCUGGGAACCUUCUGUGCACAGCGCUGUACCGGGGUGCCCAAGGAGGGCUAAAGGGGCCAUCGGGAGAGUCUGAUCUGGAAAAUUCCCCAGUGCAGCCUGAUACGACGUGUUAAUUCAUCCUCCGCUUUCACAACAAGCUAAUAAAGCAUCAAGAGAAACAUCAGACUCUAAUUCUUCUAUACAAAAGAGCUGUGUUUGACUCAAACAUUUUCCAUCUUGAACUUCCUUUACCAGGUUGCCCUGGAACUGAAGCAUUGAUGUCUCUGAGGAGCUGGAUACACACGUUUUCCUUCUGUCACCAGGUGAGGGCAAGAGGAAACAUUUGCUCAGCCAGAACUGCUGGAGAAGAGUGUUCAACCUCAAUGGGAAACAUUGUCCAGCCAACCUUCUAAUUUCCCCAGACCCAUAUUGCCCUUGCCUGUAAAGUCAAGAAGACAUCUUCAGAAAACACCUUCUUGCCUAAUAUGUUCAGCAAGCUAAACUGGAAGGAGAGAAGCAAAACCAGUUUGGAGCAGAGCAAGCGGAACAUGAAGGCAAAUGAAACUUUAGCGUGGUGGUUCAGCUCCAAGCAGCAUCCCUGUGCCCUGGCACACAGCAACGGGGGCCGCAGCGGUGGCAGGAGAGAGGAGGGCUGAGGGAUGGCAUCCAGGUGACAGCCAAAGCAUCAGUGUCACUACGGAGACAAAGGCAGAAGCAGCAUGAGGAAAUUAGCAUCACUUUUGGUGGUCCAGGAGGGAGGACAGUCUAGCCCCAAGUCUAGGAUGGGAUGUGUAGAAACAGCUGCAGUCACCAGAACCGCUUUCCUGGGGUGUCAAAAAAAAAUAAAUAUAAAAAAGGGAUCAUUGCUGCAGAAAGAGGAGUCUGCAGGACUGGAGGCUUUAGGGAAAGGUAUAGAUAUGAUCUUCUCAAGUGACUGUAGAGUUUUCACUUGGAAAAUGGGUAAUAUUGUAAAAAACCUACAUUUCUUGUUAAAUAUUGAACUAUCUUUCAUAGUAAUGGAUUGCUACCUUAUCCUUUGGGACAGGUGCCAAAAAAUGGUACCUGGGGUGUGUCUCUUGGGUACCAGCUUUCUUAGGAGGAAAUACACUGAGUGACAGGUAAGAUCAAAAAUAAUGAUUUGCCUCUUAUUCUUCCUUUAACCCGAUGUGAGCACGGCAAAGGCUGGAAAUCCAGGUGAAAAGCUCACAUUAAGUCAACUUUCUGCUUUCUCCCAGUAGCAUCUCAGAUGUCUUAAUAUUUGGAGUGUCAUUUAGAGGUCAACUUUAUUUUGACAAGGCCAUGUCCCCGGGAUGCUUGGGAUCACAGUCAACCUCUAACAGCUCGAUGCAUUGUCAGAGAAGUGUGCAGAGUCGUAGGUGCCCACUCUCUGCAAGUAAACUGUCAUCUUCGUUGGAGUAAACGAGGAGGGUCUGGGGCAUCGGACGUGGCUACAGUAUUGGCGCUUCCAUUCCUGCAACCGUCGCUGAUUAUAAUCAUCUGCAGCCACUUCGGGGGUAUCAGAGUGGAACUUUUUAAUAAAUGUAAGUGCAUAAUGGUAUAGAAAAUUUGCUACCAUAUGAAGCAGCUCUAAAACUGAUGAUGAUAUCA